AUGGAGGUGAAGACCCUCAUUCAGCUCCUGGGGCUUCUGCUGUCCUGGUUUCCAGGGACCAGAGGUGACAUCUAGAUGACCCAGUCUCCGUCCACACUGUCCGCAUCUGUAGGAGACAGUGUCACCAUCACUUGCCAUGUGAGUCACAGCAUUGGCAGUAAUUUAGGCUGGUAUCAGCAGAAACCACGGAAGGCCCCUAAGGGCCUGAUCUAUGCUGCAUCCAGUUUGCAACCUGGGGCUCCUUCGUGGUUCAGUGGCAGUGGAUCUGGGACAGAUUUUACUCUCACCAUCAGAAUCCUGCAGCCUGAAGAUGUUGCAACUUAUUACUGUCAACAGUAUAAAAAUUACCCUAUCACAGUGUUACAAACCAUAACAACCCCGCCCCCCCAGGAAAGCAGACAUGUGACGCUGGGCUGCCCCACCUGUUCUUCUUUGUGCAGCCAUCUGGUGACAACACUUCUGAGACUCAGCCUGAGUUUUGAGAGUUAUUGGGAGAUUAUGGAAGAGGAGGCCGUGAAGGUGUCUCUCCACCCUAAGUCUCUCCUCUCAUGGCAAUGUCUCUUCGUAUUUAAUCUCUCCUUCAUUUACUCCAGUACUUGGAAGUAUGUCCUGGCCUUAAAUUCCCGGGCCACAUUUCCGCAGCUGCUGAAGCUAACAUUGUCAUCUGGAAAAUUAGAAAUUUGA